UACGUAGGGUGCAAGCGUUGUCCGGAAUUAUUGGGCGUAAAGAGCGUGUAGGCGGCCAGGUAGGUCUGCUGUGAAAACUCGAGGCUCAACCUCGAGACGUCGGCGGAAACCAUCUGGCUAGAGUCCGGAAGAGGAGAGUGGAAUUCCUGGUGUAGCGGUGAAAUGCGUAGAUAUCUGGAGGAACACCGGUGGCGAAGGCGGCAUCCUGGACCGGCAUUGACGCUGAUGAGCGAAAGCCAGGGGAGCAAACGGG
rnacentral:rRNA from 1 species